rnacentral:rRNA from 1 species
UUCGCAAUGCCCGAAAGGGUGACGAUGCGACGCCGCGUGAGCGAAGAAGGCCCUAGGGUUGUAAAGCUCUGUCGAGGGUUAUGAAAUAUAGAUGGGUUAAUACCCCAUUUAUUUGACAAAAGCCCAAAAGGAAGCCACGGCUAACUCUGUGCCAGCAGCCGCGGUAAUACAGAGGUGGCGAGCGUUGUUCGGUAUUAUUGGGCGUAAAGAGCACGUAGGUGGGUUUAUAAGUCAGAUGUGAAAGCCUUCUGCUCAACGGGAGAAUUGCAUCUGAAACUGUAAGUCUUGAGUAUAGGAGGGGAGAAUGGAACUUCUGGUGGAGCGGUGAAAUGCGUAGAUAUCAGAAGGAACGCCGGCGGCGAAAGCGAUUCUCUGGCCUAUUACUGACACUCAGUGUGCGAAAGCUAGGGGAGCAAACGGGAUUAGAUACCCCGGUAGUCCUGGCUGUAAACGAUGGGCACUAAGUAGAGGGGUUUU